rnacentral:rRNA from 1 species
UACGAAGGGGGCUAGCGUUGUUCGGAAUUACUGGGCGUAAAGCGCACGUAGGCGGAUUGUUAAGUUAGGGGUGAAAUCCCGGGGCUCAACCUCGGAACUGCCUUUGAUACUGGCAAUCUUGAGUCCGGAAGAGGUGAGUGGAAUUCCUAGUGUAGAGGUGAAAUUCGUAGAUAUUAGGAAGAACACCAGUGGCGAAGGCGGCUCACUGGUCCGGAACUGACGCUUAGGUGCGAAAGCGUGGGGAGCAAACAGGAUUAGAUACCCUGGUAGUCCCUGAGCGGGCU